CUAGAAAUCUCUAAAAUGUUGCCUUAAAGAUAGAUGGCAUAAUAACAGCCAAAAAUGCAGGUCGAAGAAUCUUAUCAACUUUUCUCCGGGUACUGUUUAAAAUAGCUGGGCCUCAUUUUUCAGUCUGGUUUCGCAACAAUUGUACUCGUAAAAUGUCCUCAGGAACAGCUGCACCGGAAAAGUUGUCUUCAUCGCAAUCCAGUUCAUUUGGAAAGUCGUUCCCUGUAUCCUACGCUCCUGAGUUAGCUCUGGUAUAUGAAGGUAUACACACACAUCUUGGAAAAAAUGGUCUCAGAUUCAUACAAUAAUCUCUAAAAUGUUGCCCAUCGUACCCCUCGACCCCUUUUCUUUUUUUUUUCUUUUUUUUUUUCUCCAGAAUGCACGGUCUGCACCGAACAUGACCUCCGAGCAUGAAGGUGAAAAGUUUGUAUAGGGGAUCAACGGAUACCGGUAUAGCCUGGCGUGGACGUUUAACCCACUGGACAAAUAUACACUAUCAGACCAUGAGGGACCUGCUCUUUUCCGUUUCUUUCUGUUGACUGCCAGUUUCUUUCUUCUCCAAAGAAAAGCGUGUGAUGGUUAUCUGAUCAACUCUAACAGCACAGCCAUUACCUCCAACCCAAACACAACCCCAGUUUCAGCUCAGCAUGUGUGUGUGUGUGUGUGUGUGUGUGUGUGUGUGUGUGUUGGUGGAUGUGGGGGGUGUGUGAUUUCUCCUGAUUGCUUCUGUGCUGCUUAUAUCAGGCGGGCCACCCCGCUGACACUUCGUCGAUAAAAAGAAAGAGAAAAAGUAUCUCUGCUCUUCAUCAUCACUUGGCCUUCCUCGUAAUGGAACAGGAUUAUGGCGGAUUUACACCAGCUCCAUGUUUCUUGCGUGUGUGUGUGUGUGUGUGUGUGUGUGUGCCAACAACAGCGCGCUCAAGGGUAAAAUUCCUGCAUCCUCGCUCCUCUUAUCCCUGACAGCGAUCCCCCCAGCAGCGCGCCGCUCUGCGAGAGAAGGCCAUGUUUGAUCCUCACCAGUGGGCCGGGUUUUAUUUCCGUUGUGGAGAGAUCGUUUCCAGAAGACGCUCUUCAAGGACGAUCUGUGGAUCGUGACAAGGCGCUGAAGCCAGAGAGGGGAGUUAUCACUCAUGACACCUUAUUAUUAGUGUGUACUUUUUUGCCCUGGUGGUCUGAUAAAGUAGAGACUCUAAAGCUUAAUGCUAAACGCGAAUUGCUCAUGAAGAAGUGUGUGCAAUACACGAGUGAUUCAAAGUGUAUAUUUAUAACGUUUACAAUAAAAAAAAAAAAUGACGAAUAUGAACAGACUGAAUAAAUUCUGGUUGAAGUGAAUAAAUAAUAAUAAUAAUAAUUCUGUGCUGAGUUGUCAGUUUAUUAGACAUAU